ACCAACCUUCCGAUCAGCAAGCCCAAGAGGCUCAGUGGUUUCCAGGUGUCUCACACUAUCUGAGGUAUACAGACAGACCAUCAGAAACUUCUCCAAGACACUACAGGGAACUUUAGAAGAUAAGUUCUCAAAAGGCCCACAUCUCAUCUGUAAAAAUCUCAUUUCUUCC